rnacentral:rRNA from 1 species
UACAGAGGCCUCAAGCGUUAAUCGGAAUUACUGGGCGUAAAGCGUGCGCAGGCGGCUUUGCAAGACAGAUGUGAAAUCCCCGGGCUUAACCUGGGAACUGCAUUUGUGACUGCAUGGCUGGAGUGCGGCAGAGGGGGAUGGAAUUCCGCGUGUAGCAGUGAAAUGCGUAGAUAUGCGGAGGAACACCGAUGGCGAAGGCAAUCCCCUGGGCCUGCACUGACGCUCAUGCACGAAAGCGUGGGGAGCAAACAGG